rnacentral:misc_RNA from 1 species
ACUACUCACCCCGACGUUUUCUAAACGACGGGCGUGGAUUUGGGUGUCUGCCUUUGUUGGCUCACCUUAAAUGGAUUAGUGGAUGAGUCGGUCAUCUGGACGUGAUACGUUUCGUCUGUGAAGGUUGGUUGUUGUCUGCUCCUAACCCGACUUUCGAGUCAACCCCAUUUGUU